UGUGUGUAUAUAUGUGUACAGUAGAAUAUUAUUUAGCCAUGAGAAAGAAGGAAAUCCUGCCAUUUGCAACAACAACACGGAUAGAUCCUGAGGGCAUGAUGCUAAGAAAUAAAGGUUAAAAAAAAAAAGAAAAUUAUAGAUGAUGCAUUGCAGGGGCAAAGAAAGGCAUGACAGUCAUCAAUGGACACAAUUUCAAAGAAAUGGAAUUGGCACCAUGUCAAAAAAAUUGGUGAAUCUACAGUUACACAUAUUAAGUGAAACUAAAAUGUAUAAGGUACUAUUAUUACCAUUUCCAUUUAUACGAGAGGCACAAAGAGGCUAAGUAUCUUGCCCGUGCGUUCAGCUGGAGUAUAUCUCGACGGAGGACAAGGACUUACAAACUUGUGCGUGUGUUAUGUGGAGGUGGAAGCUUUCCACAAUGAAGGAGUUUUAGUUCAUUCGUCCACCAAACGAGGACUGAAGUACUACUAUCUCUUGGUAGUGAUAUUGGGCCUUUUAAAUGAAGAGUCAAUAGUGCGCCUGGAACAUAGCAAUCACUAAAUUAAAAAAAAAAAAAAUUGAGAGGGAGGAAGGGCAGAGAGAGGGACAGA